GUCCACGCCCUAAACGAUGAUAACUCGAUGUUUGCGAUACACAGUAAGCGUCCAAGCGAAAGAGUUAAGUUAUCCACCUGGGGGAGUACGGUCGCAAGAUUGAAACUCAAAGGAAUUGACGGGGGCCCGCACAAGCGGAGGAGCAUGUGGUUUAAUUCGAUGAUACGCGAGGAACCUUACCCGGGCUUGAAAGUUAGUGAAUGAUCCAGAGACGGAUCAGUCCUUCGGGACACGAAAUUAGGUGCUGCAUGGCUGUCGU
rnacentral:rRNA from 1 species